UUAAAGUGGAAAAGGAGCCCAGCUGGCCAAUGUGGGGCAAGGUGGUUGCCCCUACCUGGUUAUAUCCAUGUUGUCCCAAAACCCAGACAGGGAAAGGGGUAUGCUAACUCUCUGUCCAGCUGGAGUUUUCCCUAGCAGGAAACUUGGCUGAGCGGGUUGAUAAAAACACAUGCUUACAGGGACUUACACGGUGAUGAGAAUGCAGACUCAGAAGACUUGAGUUCUAGAAUGCUACUUCAGCACAUUCCUGGCUGGAGGAAGGAGCAAGGGGGUGUCAGAAGGAUCCCCUGAUAGUGUUUACAGAACUUGGAGGUUUGACAAGCAUAGCAUCAAGUUCAUUGUUCUUUAAGCAGGAGGUCUGGAGUGGAGGAAGCAGGAGUUGAGAGAUGAUUACCAAGUUUUGAAAUUAUCAUGUUUGCUCUUUUGCACUUUCUAGUUUCGCCCCCCAUCCCCAGGAGUUGGUGGGUAUUUUGGAAGCUACAUCCAAUGGGUCUUUGGAAGGCCUGCAUAACCAGGAAGGAGGGGUGUGCAAGACAAGAGCCAUGAAGAUCAUCAUGAAAGUUGGACAAAAUGCAAGUCCUGCUGGAUCAACCAGGAAUAAUGAUCCAACAAGACGUCCAGAGCUAGAAGCUAGUACAAAUGGGAGAUAUUCAACAACAAGCCCUUUUGUAUAACCAAAUCCAGGGACAGCAGUGUAGUGGGGAUGUGUGUCUAUGGGGUGCAUUUUUCUUAGAACCCAUAGAGGCAGAGGAGCCUCUAAACACAUCCAAACCAGUGAGAUUCACUCGUGGGCACAGAUUCCUGGGGUCUUUGCUCCCAGUGAGUCAAUAUUAACUCUGCCACUAAGACAGAUUAAUUCAGCCCGCUCAGUCACAAGAGCAGAGCUCACCAGGUGUUUCAGUUACUGAUGCAUCCUGAAGUGUUGAAACUAGGGAUGUUCCAGAUUUGCUGUCUAAUCUUUAGGAAGUGGUUGGCCUGGUGAGUGUCGGACCUUUGAAGCUCCUUCACCUCAUCUGGUGAUCUGUUGUCAAGUGGACCCAGUGAGUUGAGCAUUGGCCAUGAUUACUUGUUUGCAUUUGGAGCGUUCGUUCUUCAAGCUAGAGGGCAGAGUCUCAGAACCCCAGUAAUUGGCUGUUCUUGCUUCCCUGCAGGAACCAGCACCGAUGGCAACAGCGCAGGGCAUUCCAGGAACAAUCUGGGUUACAAAGUGGCCUUAUUCGCAGGAAUCAUAUCAGGAUGCAU
rnacentral:lncRNA from 1 species